CAGUAGCCGCGGGAAUACGGAGGGAGCUAGCGUUGUUCGGAAUUACUGGGCGUAAAGCGCACGUAGGCGGCUUUGUAAGUCAGAGGUGAAAGCCUGGAGCUCAACUCCAGAACUGCCUUUGAGACUGCAUCGCUUGAAUCCAGGAGAGGUGAGUGGAAUUCCGAGUGUAGAGGUGAAAUUCGUAGAGAUGUGGAGGAACACCAGUGGCGAAGGCGGCUCACUGGUCCAUUACUGACGCUGAGGUGCGAAAGCGUGGGGAGCAAACAGGAUUAGAGACCCGCGUAGUCCCUGUCUCUUAUAC
rnacentral:rRNA from 1 species